UCUGGUUCAGGAUGAACGCUGGCGGCGUGCUUAACACAUGCAAGUCGAACGAAGCUCCUAAUCUUGCGUUUUCGGACAAGAGAGAGGGAUGACUUAGUGGCGGACGGGUGAGUAAUGCGUGAGCAACCUGCCCUUCAGAGGGGGACAACAGUUGGAAACGACUGCUAAUACCGCAUAAUGUAUCGAGAAGGCAUCUUCAUGAUACCAAAGAUUUAUCGCUGAAGGAUGGGCUCACGUCUGAUUAGCUAGUUGGUGAGGUAAUGGCUCACCAAGGCUGCGAUCAGUAGCCGGACUGAGAGGUUGACCGGCCACAUUGGGACUGAGAUACGGCCCAGACUUCUACGGGAGGCAGCAGUGGGGAAUAUUGGGCAAUGGGCGCAAAGCCUGACCCAGCAACGCCGCGUGAAGGAAGAAGGCUUUCGGGUUGUAAACUUCUUUUGGCAGGGACGAAGAAAGUGACGGUACCUGCAGAAUAAGCUCCGGCUAACUACGUGCCAGCCGCGGC
rnacentral:rRNA from 1 species